rnacentral:rRNA from 1 species
GACGAACGCUGGCGGCGUGCCUAAUACAUGCAAGUAGAACGCUGAAGGAGGAGCUUGCUUCGCUGGAUGAGUUGCGAACGGGUGAGUAACGCGUAGGUAACCUGCCUGGUAGUGGGGGAUAACUAUUGGAAACGAUAGCUAAUACCGCAUAAUAGCUGUUGUUGCAUGAUAACUGUUUGAAAGGUGCAAUUGCACCGCUAGCAGAUGGACCUGCGUUGUAUUAGCUAGUUGGUGGGGUAACGGCUCACCAAGGCGACGAUACAUAGCCGACCGGCGAGGGGGAUCGGCCACGCUGGGACUGGGACACGGCCCAGCCCCCUGGGGGAGGCAGCCGGAGCGGAUCUUCGGCGAUGGACGGAAGUGUGAACGAGCAACGCCGGGGGAGAGAAGGAGCGUGUCGGGUCGUGAAGCUCGGUUGUAAGAGAAGAACGAGUAUGAGAGUGGAAAGUUCACACUGUGACGGUACCUUACCAAAAAGGGCCGGCUAACUACGUG